rnacentral:rRNA from 1 species
UACAGGGGGUGCAAACGUUGCUCGGAAUCAUUGGGCGUAAAGCGCACGUAGGCGGUUCGUUAUGUCGGAUGUGAAAGCCCUUGGCUUAACCGAGGAAGUGCAUCCGAAACUGGCGAGCUAGAGUACUAAAGAGGAUCGCGGAAUUCCCGGUGUAGAGGUGAAAUUCGUAGAUAUCGGGAGGAACACCAGUGGCGAAGGCGGCUCACUGGUCCAUUACUGACGCUGAGGUGCGAAAGCGUGGGGAGCAAACAGG